rnacentral:rRNA from 1 species
CCUACGGGAUGCACCAGUGGGGAAUAUUGCACAAUGGGCGCAAGCCUGAUGCAGCCAUGCCGCGUGUAUGAAGAAGGCCUUCGGGUUGUAAAGUACUUUCAGCGAGGAGGAAGGCGUUAAGGUUAAUAACCUUAGCGAUUGACGUUACUCGCAGAAGAAGCACCGGCUAACUCCGUGCCAGCAGCCGCGGUAAUACGGAGGGUGCAAGCGUUAAUCGGAAUUACUGGGCGUAAAGCGCACGCAGGCGGUCUGUUAAGUCAGAUGUGAAAUCCCCGGGCUCAACCUGGGAACUGCAUUUGAAACUGGCAGGCUUGAGUCUUGUAGAGGGGGGUAGAAUUCCAGGUGUAGCGGUGAAAUGCGUAGAGAUCUGGAGGAAUACCGGUGGCGAAGGCGGCCCCCUGGACAAAGACUGACGCUCAGGUGCGAAAGCGUGGGGAGCAAACAGGAUUAGAUACCCCAGUAGUC